UCCGUACCCUUUCUGUAGAAGAUGACCCCAGAGCGACAGCCCCGCAGCGUCUUGUGGGUCGUCGUGGAGACCACGUCACAGUACUCGAACGGAGACGGGACGACCCCGGCCGCCACCAGUCCGCUGAUGUGUGCCAUGUCGGCCAAUAGGAAAGCUCCGUUCUCAUCGGCGAUACGACGCAGCCGAGCGUAGUCGAGGUUACGGGAAUAACAGCUGGUACCUGGAGAGGAGACGGAACGAUUAACAGGAAACGGUCUCGUUUUUUAAACCUCAUCUUCAGCACCAUUCCCAACAUCAACUGAGAAAAUGACAGAUUUCUAUGUUUUGUAGUCAAAAAGAUGCACCAAACGAUGGCACAAGUUUUUUUUUUUACAGAUAAUGACAUUGGAAAGUCCUGGACAAGAUAUUUCAACAGGAGAUUCUGUGUCUGAGAAACCAGGCCCAAAUGAUACAAUGUCAACAGGAGAUUCUGUGUCUGAGAAACCAGGCCCAAAUGAUACAAUGUCAACAGGAGAUUCUGUGUCUGAGAAACCAGGCCCAAAUGAUACAAUGUCAACAGGAGAUUCUGUGUCUGAGAAACCAGGCCCAAAUGAUACAACAGGAGUGUGUAUAUGAUGAUGAUGAUGAUGAUUGUGUGUGUAUAUGAUGAUGAUGGUGGUGGUGGUGUGUGUGUAUAUGAUGAUGAUGUUGGUGGUGGUGGUGGGUGUGUGUGUUACCUGCAAUGAUCAGUCUAGGGUGGAACAGCCGGGCGUUCUCCUCCAGUCGGUCGUAGUUGAUGAGACCAGUGUCUGGAUCCACCUGAUACAACACAGAUUAACGUCACUAGUCGUAGUGGAUGAGGCCAGUGUCUGGAUCCACCUGAUACAACACAGAUUAACGUCACUAGGAUUCACUUGAUACAACACAGAUUAACGUCACUAGUCGUAGUGGAUGAGACCAGUGUCUGGAUCCACCUGAUACAACACAGAUUAACGUCACUAGGAUCCACUUGAUACAACACAGAUUAACGUCACUAGGAUCCACCUGAUACAACACAGAUUAACGUCACUAGGAUCCACCUGAUACAACACAGAUUAACGUCACUAGGAUCCACCUGAUACAACACAGAUUAACGUCACUAGGAUCCACCUGAUACAACACAGAUUAACGUCACUAGGAUCCACNNNNNNNNNNUUUUUAAACCUCAUCUUCAGCACCAUUCCCAACAUCAACUGAGAAAAUGACAGAUUUCUAUGUUUUGUAGUCAAAAAGAUGCACCAAACGAUGGCACAAGUUUUUUUUUUUACAGAUAAUGACAUUGGAAAGUCCUGGACAAGAUAUUUCAACAGGAGAUUCUGUGUCUGAGAAACCAGGCCCAAAUGAUACAAUGUCAACAGGAGAUUCUGUGUCUGAGAAACCAGGCCCAAAUGAUACAAUGUCAACAGGAGAUUCUGUGUCUGAGAAACCAGGCCCAAAUGAUACAAUGUCAA
rnacentral:lncRNA from 13 species